rnacentral:lncRNA from 1 species
AAAUCGACCCUAAUAUAGUGGGGAAUUUGGGGCAAAAAAUCGGAUAAGAAGCAGCUCUUCUGUUUAGAUUGAAAAUUGAAGAGGAUGUCAUGAAGGUCUCAAGUCAAUGAAAGAAGCUGAAACAGAUGGAAAGCAAGGAGGAUUUGUCUUCACUUUCAAAGAGCGUAAAGUGAAAGAAAGGAGGAAGUCCACACCCUUGGGUUUGGGGGCAUCGGAUCCAGUGUGCAAUGUGAGAAGUAAAAUGAAGAGGAGAAAUGAUCUAGAGAGACUUUCUGAUGAAGCAAAC